rnacentral:rRNA from 1 species
GAUAAAUAUUAAAUGGCCGCAGUAUUUUAACUGUGCAAAGGUAGCAUAAUCAUUAGUCUUUUAAUUGAAGGCUUGUAUGAAUGGUUGGACGAAACAUAUACUGUAUCAUAAAAAUUAAUAAUAGAAUUUUAUUUUUUAGUCAAAAAGCUAAAAUUAAAUUGAAAGACGAGAAGACCCUAUAGAUCUUUAUAAUUUAAUUAAUUAUUAUUAUUUAGAUAAUUUAAGUAUUAAUUAAUUAAAUUAUUUUGUUGGGGUGACAUUAAAAUUUAAAAAACUUUUAAUAAUUUAAAUACAUUUAUUUAUGAAUUAUUGAUCCAUUAUUAGUGAUUAAAAAAUUAAGUUACCUUAGGGAUAACAGCGUAAUCUUUUUGGAGAGUUCUUAUCAAUAAAAAGGUUUGCGACCUCGAUGUUGGACUAAAAUAAAUUUUGGGUGUAGCAGUUCAAAAAUUUAAGUCUGUCGACUUUUAAUUUUUUACAUGAUCU